rnacentral:rRNA from 1 species
UACAGAGGGGGCAAGCGUUAUUCGGAAUUAUUGGGCGUAAAGGGCGCGUAGGCGGCCCGCUAAGUCGAACGUGAAAUCCCCGAGCUCGACUCGGGAACUGCGUCCGAUACUGGCGGGCUUGAAUCCGGGAGAGGGAUGCGGAAUUCCAGGUGUAGCGGUGAAAUGCGUAGAUAUCUGGAGGAACACCGGUGGCGAAGGCGGCAUCCUGGACCGGCAUUGACGCUGAGGCGCGAAAGCUAGGGGAGCAAACGGG